rnacentral:rRNA from 1 species
CCUACGGGAGGCAGCAGUGGGGAAUAUUGCACAAUGGGGGAAACCCUGAUGCAGCGACGCCGCGUGAGUGAAGAAGUAUCUCGGUACGUAAAGCUCUAUCAGCAGGGAAGAAAAUGACGGUACCUGACUAAGAAGCCCCGGCUAACUACGUGCCAGCAGCCGCGGUAAUACGGAGGGGGCAAGCGUUAUCCGGAUUUACUGGGUGUAAAGGGAGCGUAGACGGCAGCACAAGUCUGGAGUGAAAUCCCGGGGCUUAACCCCGGAACUGCUUUGGAAACUGUGCGGCUGGAGUGCAGGAGGGGUGAGCGGAAGUCCUGGUGGAGCGGUGAAAUGCGUAGAUAUUAGGAGGAACACCGGUGGCGAAGGCGGCUUACUGGACUGUAACUGACGUUGAGGCGCGAAAGCGUGGGGAGCAAACAGGAUUAGAUACCCCGGUAGUC